rnacentral:misc_RNA from 1 species
AGCAUUCCUCAAGACAUCGGACCGCACGGCACAAGACCGGAAACGGAGCCGAACGUCGUUUGAGAUUAGCGUUUAAGCUUAACGUGGGCAAAUAGGAGCCUUAUACCCCGUGCCCUUCGCAUUUUCCGCAUCCCAGAGCUCGAACGGAAACACAUUGGCCACGGCAACAACACGGAGGAUGUUAGCCGGGGACAACGGGUGCCGUUGCGAGUUUCACCCUCAACCGCACCGAAAUAACGGUCAGCCUAAGGCGAACAAAGAUGAUUGCCACCGAAUUCCAUUAAAAGGUACGCAACACAGGAAACCGAGAGAUUGGCCAAUAAAAAUUGUCCCAAAUAUGAAGAUGAACGCACAGUAGGACGUCGCCGCACUAGGCCGGGAUCCAACC